CGGAAAUAGAGCAGCAGGUCGGUAGUUCCUGCGCCCGCGCCCCGCGGGUUCUUCCAAGCCACGG
rnacentral:ncRNA from 1 species